CAAUGCUUUUGUUGGAAACAACAAUCAGUAUCAAACUGGCUGUCCUUGAAGGAUUCAUAGACAAAGCUAUAAUCUGUCAAUGCGGGGCGAGGAAAUUGAACUUCAACAAUACGAGCUUUAACAGGUUUAAGUACACAAUCCAUGGCUGUCUUUGAAGGAUUCAUAGACAAAGGCCAACAAACUGGCUGCAUGUGGCAUUACAUAGAAAGUAAAUUUCAACAACUUCAUCAUCAUCCGAUAAAGUUUUCUUGCAAGAAAACCAAACAAGGACGUGCCCCCCAGGGUUUAACAUCAGUUUAUCUUGUUUGAGAUGAAGAAUUCUUCAUCAACACAAAGAGAGCUUUUCCAUGU
rnacentral:lncRNA from 1 species